rnacentral:lncRNA from 1 species
GAGUGAAUAGGAGAAGGAGGGUGGGUCCGAGCUGCGGGCCCAGUGUAAGAGAGAAGGGGUAGGGUAAGGGUGCGUGAGAAAAGUAGGCCGGGGGUUUUCCGGGAAAAAUUUAGAUUUCCUUUUGUAGAAUAAUAGAUUAAAUCCGGUUAUCACCUUUUAAAUCACAUAAAUUUCUAGGGGUGUCCAAAAUUAGUGAAACCAAUUUUGUUAGAAUUGUUUUAUUUUCCUUUAUGCAUUGAAAUUUUUAUACCCUAAGAAAAAUAAUAAAAAUUUAGGUAUUUGUUUAAUGCCUUUCUUUUAAGGUAUUUAAAUAAAUACUUAAUCUUUAUUAAAUGCAUAAAAUAUGGAAUAACAUUUUCAUAAUCACAAAUUAUUGUUAAC